GUGCUACGAUGGAUAAGCGUAUCUCGCGCGUAUCCCGGCAUAUCACCCCUAGUGCAGUAUCCUGCACCGAUACGACACUUCUACGACAUAUCCCUGCAACAUAAUUGGUGUUGUUUCAGAACAUAUGAUUCAAGAGUCAAAUUUAUCGAUCUUUGGCAUUAAUUCUGGACGUGUGUUCAAGGCAGUGACUGGUGUUGUGCAUGUAGGGGUUGUCUGUUUAUGCAUCCUUCCCUAUCAUACCAUUAAAUCUAAGUAGCAGGCAAGACAUAGAUAAUAAAAAAAAACUCUACAGAACAAAGAGGCUACUAAAUCCAUAGUUCUAGGUUGGUCAAUUAUCUUGAUGCUUUUUGGGUGAGGUAGCAUUGGAUAAAUUCAGAUGUUUAGUGGUGGUUACCCAACACACAGGUACGUAGGAGGUUCAGCCUUAACUCAUGGGGUAAUUUGAAGUCCAAGUCACGGUCACAUACCUAGCCUCGUCUGACUCCACAUACAGCACCGUGUUGGCCAUGUCCUCCACCCCCAGCACCGUGCCAUCGAGUUUCAUGGUCAUGUAUUCC
rnacentral:lncRNA from 1 species